rnacentral:rRNA from 1 species
GAGUUUGAUCGUGGCUCAGAUUGAACGCUGGCGGCAGGCCUAACACAUGCAAGUCGAGCGGAUGAAGGGAGCUUGCUCCUGGAUUCAGCGGCGGACGGGUGAGUAAUGCCUAGGAAUCUGCCUGGGUAGUGGGGAGUAACGUACCGGAACGGGACGCUAAUACCGCAUACGUCCUGAGGGAGGAAAGUAGGGGGAGUCUUCGGACCGUCACGCUAUCAGACGAGCCUAGGUCGGAUUAGCUAGUUGGUGGGGUAAAGGCCUACCAAGGCGACGAUCCGUAACUGGUCUGAGAGGAUGAUCAGUCACACUGGAACUGAGACACGGUCCAGACUCCUACGGGAGGCAGCAGUGGGGAAUAUUGGACAAUGGGCGGAAAGCCUGAUCCAGCCAUGCCGCGUGUGUG